UAACUAGGCUACUUUCACUUCUAACUCCAUCCUGGUUGGUUUUGAUACGUACCUAGCUAGCCUACUGUGUUUUUACCUAGCUAGCCUACUGUGUUUUUACCUAGCUAGCCUACUGUGUUUUUACCUAGCUAACCUACUGCUAGCCUACUGUGUUUUUACCUAGCUAACCUACUGUGUUUUUACCUAGCUAACCUACUACUAACCUACUGUGUUCUUACCUAGCUAACCUACUGUGUUUAAACCUAGCUAGCUAGCAGGCUAACAGCUAGUAACAUUAGCUAGCAUUGCCAACUUGCAGGUCAUAUGAACCCAGUACCUGGGCUUGAGGAGACGUUACCCACCGUAUCUAACUACUUCCAACAAAAAACGGGCUACAAAUAUUUAGUUGCUCUGCGAAACUCCACAUUUUGGGUGAAUAACGAACGUAUUUUUUAUUUAUUUUUGUUUACCUAACGUUUGAAGGAUGUUGGGCGUCGGGAGAAGCCUCGGACUAUAGCUAGGCUUCCUGGAUUCUAAGCAGCUGAUUGGUCAGCCCCAUCGAUGAUUGGAGCUCUGAACCCUCCCUCUCGUCAGGGGAAACAGCUGAUGAUCAACUCCUUCUCCAGCUGAAUAAAAGCCAAGAGAGAGAGAGAGAGAUGGUGUCUUUGAUGUCCUGUGUUGGUUGUUGCUCAGUGACAGUUUUGUUGAAAGUAUUUUGUGGCUGCUACGUAUGAGUUAUGUGUGUGCCAAAAGGACUGUUUUUUAAAUUAUUGAAAUUGUUUACUUUACGUUAGUAAUUAUUCCGUUUUUGUUCCCAGAGGUAAAGGCUCCUUGGGAGUGCUUAGGCAGGAGGCCCGCGGGGAUACAUAACCUGUAGUAUUUACUGUCUAUACACACUAGGUAAGACCUGGGCGGACCAUCCCCUGUAUUUUGGUUAGCGCGCCAGGAGGUGCUAAAAGGUUAGGUAAGUAGUGGUUAGGUAGGAGAGGGAACUUUUUAACUCUUACUUUCUUUGCUUUGGUUCCGUCCAGCCCCCUUUCCCCACAUUACCGUGUUGAGGAAAUAAAUUCUCUGUAAACGGUAA